rnacentral:misc_RNA from 1 species
AAGUCGUAACAAGGUUUCCGUAGGUGAACCUGCGGAAGGAUCAUUCAUAAAUCAAGUGUUUUUUAUGGCACUUUCAAAAAUCCUAUCCACCUUGUGUGCAAUGUCAUUACGGAGGUCACGGCUGAACAAUCCUUGGUCACCUUUGGGAUUUAUAUCUACUCAGAACUUUAGUGUUUUUGUCUGAAACAUAUUAUGAAUAACUUAAUUCAAAAUACAA